CGCUGUCGCCACGGUCGCCGGUACCGCCGGGCCGCUGCCGCGACCUCCCUUCCCGCGAGCCUGCGCGGGGGAGUGAGAGGCUGGAGAGCAGUUCCUGGUCACAUCUGCAAUCAAAAGUGUUCUGACUACUGGCUGCUGUAACUGAGGCAAAAGUGAAGGGCCCUGUGGAGUGUCGGUAGAGGGAGGGAGAGGUCCCUUCAAUAUGAAGACUCCAUGUGGUGUUGAAAGAAGAGAGAUGUUAUUCCUUUCUCAUUCCUGACUUUGUCCUUCCCCCAUCAGGGUCAGAGCUCUCUGCUGUGG
ensembl:lncRNA